rnacentral:rRNA from 1 species
UCAACUUUAUUAGAAGAGGCGCAUUUAUUAGAUAAAAAGCCAAUGCAUGCUUUUACAGUAUGGAAAUUGGUGAUUUAUAAUAACUUAGCAAAUCGCAAAGUGAAAA